UACGAAGGGGGCUAGCGUUGUUCGGAAUUACUGGGCGUAAAGGGCGCGUAGGCGGUGUGUCAAGUCAGGCGUGAAAGCCCCGGGCUCAACCUGGGAACCGCGCUUGAGACUGGCGCGCUCGAGUUCGGGAGAGGAUGGUGGAAUUCCCAGUGUAGAGGUGAAAUUCGUAGAUAUUGGGAAGAACACCGAUGGCGAAGGCAGCCAUCUGGACCGACACUGACGCUGAGGCGCGAAAGCCAGGGGAGCAAACGGG
rnacentral:rRNA from 1 species